CAGAUGCGCCAAAAUCACUUUGACCUAAUCGUUAAUUUCUCCUGUUCUCCACUCCAGUCCAGUUCGCAUUCCGUCGAUCUCGUUCCUGCCGGCAGCCGAUCGUCGCCAGUCCUCUAUCCUCAAGCUCUCACAACAGCCGGCAGCCACACGUGGACGUCUUCAGUCCUCUGUCCUUAAGAACAACUAUUUAAGAAGAGGUAGAAGACGAUAUCUCAAGUUUUGAGAAUCAUCAAGGCGUUCAUCAUGCUGAAGAAUCCCCUUCCACUCCAGACACUUUUCUCACUACAUCUCUGCAGAGUUCCUUUCCAGCGAAGAAAGUCAGAUUAAGCGCUCAAUUUGUAUUCUGUGCCUUUGUUUCCUGUUUAUUUUGGCUCUAAUCAUACGACAUCAAGGUGAUUUCCAGGUAAUAAACACCUUUGAGGGGUUUAAUGUCUUUGUGGUUUGCAUCAUGUUAUCAAUCACCGGAGUAUAUUGUGUGUUGCUGAUCAGAAACCAGCCCGAGCUUGCAGUUCUUCGGAAAUGUUAUUUCAUGCUGUCCAUUGUUUCAAUGGCAUCAGCUUUAUCAAUAUUGGGAUAUGCCUUGUUUCUGGAAAGUUUCAGGUGGGUUUAUGGAGGACUAGAUUUUGGCAAGAUGAAUAUCUCAGCUUUUCAGAUUUGAUGGAAAAAGUCUUUAUGAUUACAAGCUUCAUUGUUUUGCUGGUCUGGUUCUUGGAUUCGGAGAAAAUCUGCAUAGUUUGAAGAGACUCUGCAUCUCAGAUUUGUG